AGUAGUAUGGUGUAUCAUGCACACAGGGUUCCUGUACAGUGUAAUUGUGUCGAUCUAGAAAUUAAUCCUGAGGCCCUCGUUCGAUUCGAGGUGCUGCUC